CACCUACGGGUGGCAGCAGUGGGGAAUUUUGGACAAUGGGCGCAAGCCUGAUCCAGCCAUGCCGCGUGCAGGGUGAAGGCCUUCGGGUUGUAAACUGCUUUUGUACGGAACGAAAAGGUUCUUUUUAAUAAAGAGAGCUCAUGACGGUACCGUAAGAAUAAGCACCGGCUAACUACGUGCCAGCAGCCGCGGUAAUACGUAGGGUGCAAGCGUUAAUCGGAAUUACUGGGCGUAAAGCGUGCGCAGGCGGUGAUGUAAGACAGUUGUGAAAUCCCCGGGCUCAACCUGGGAACUGCAAUUGUGACUGCAUCGCUGGAGUGCGGCAGAGGGGGAUGGAAUUCCGCGUGUAGCAGUGAAAUGCGUAGAUAUGCGGAGGAACACCGAUGGCGAAGGCAAUCCCCUGGGCCUGCACUGACGCUCAUGCACGAAAGCGUGGGGAGCAAACAGGAUUAGAUACCCUGGUAGUCCACGCCCUAAACGAUGUCAACUGGUUGUUGGGAAUUCACUUUCUCAGUAACGAAGCUAACGCGUGAAGUGACC
rnacentral:rRNA from 1 species